rnacentral:misc_RNA from 1 species
CCAGUCUGUGGUCUGCUGGGCUCUCUGUCAGUCUCUCUAGAACCUAUGCCAAUUCUGACGCUUGAAACUCGUCCGGGGCAUCUGCAAAUAGUGGAGUAGCCUAUAACUUUGACCCGAUUCCGAAAUGAUUCUAGCAGCUUAUCUGCUCGGCCCGAAAUUACAGAUCCGGAUAACGAUCGAAUUUCCAUGAAAUGAAAGUACCUAUACAAAGCCUACAACACCAGAGGUUAGAAUAAAAUAUUUAUAUUUACAUAUAAAAUAAUUAUUUGAAAAUUAGAGAUGUUACAACGUCUACUUGCCUUUUUGGUGAUGACUUGCCUUAUAUGAGGGGAUCUCACCUUCCAUGUUUGGGUACUUACCAUAUUUACACUUACCAUAUUUGAAUAAGGAAAUAAAUUAAUGCUACUUACUGUGUUCAAAUAAGGAAAGAAAUUAGCACCACUAGCCACAUUUAAAUUUACUAUAUUCGUGCUUACCAUUUUUAAAGAAAACAAAUAACAAAGCAAUAAAGCAGGAAAAGUAAAGCAAGCUAAACCCUAAACCGCACACCAUUUGGCUAGGGUUGUAAGUCAACCCUAGCCACUUCUUCCUUUGAUCUAAACCAUGGUUUCUAGUUCUUAAAAACACCAAAAGCCUAACAAAUAAGUUAGUAUUUGAUUAAACAACAAGAAAAUAAACUUGAUAAAUUUAAGUUAAUGACUUUCACCUUUUUUUGUUUCAGAUGCAGUAAAAAAUGAAAAUACAUAAAAAAUAAAACAUGCUAAAAAAUGGAUGAAAUUUUAUAAAAAUGCUCAUGAGAUAUCAUAUAUGAUCUUAGGAAAAAGAAUCAAGCAUAAAGAAUGAUAGAAAAAAUAAAAUUGAAUUUUAAAUUUUCUAUUUAAUACAUGCACCCAAAUUAUGUCCACCGAUUUUUUAAAACUGUUGCAUACCAAAAUAUGCAAACUUAAGAGAAACUCAAAACAUAAAAGAUUUAGAGGACAUCUAGACUUCAAUUUUAGGUGCAAGAAUCACCUAAAAAGGUGAAAGUUUCAUUGAGUUAUGCCCUUGUAAAUUUCAAGUAUGUGUAGAAUUGAAUACAAUCAAAUGUGAAAUUUUCAAAAAUCAUAUCUUAUAAACAAUAAAUCAAAUCAAGAUGAGCCAUAUAUGAAAGUUGCACAAUUUUUUAUGUACUUUGGAAAAAAAAGUUGUUGGGAUUGAAAAACUUGCCUAACUAUGACUUAUAAGUUAGGCAAUAGUAGUACAUCCCAAAGAACAUAUAUAGAGUUUGCAAAUUACCCUUAAUAACAUUCACAUUGAACCUACAAUAAGACUUAAGGAUGCUUAUUAAUACAUAAAAGGGAUGUUAAUAUGAUGUUCUACAUGAUUAAUUUAGGUCUUGUACCAUGCCUUCCCUUUGUAAAUUAAAAGAAAAUAAAAGAGAAAGGUAGAAGAAAGAAUAUGCAAGAGUGGCGUGUGGGAGAAAGAGUUGUGAGAAGGAUGGCGUGUGCAACUGCCCUAGGUGUCUUUGGUGGUUGAUGAGUGAUAUUGGUGUCUUGUUUAGGAUUUUAGAGAUGUAUUUAUAUGCUUCUUAGCUAUUUAGGAAGAUCUGACUUUUCCUCUCUACUUCCUGAUUAGCUAUUUUAACUUCCUAAAAAGCAAGAUUAUUUCCCUCUCUCUCAUUCCUAUUUUUAGCAAGCAAAAGAUUGCUGCCUAUAUUUAUAUUUUUUAAUCUAUUUUUUAAUUAUUCACUCUUAUUUUAUUCCUAUUUUGGCUUGAUUUCUUCUUCUAAGAGCAAGAACAAGUCUAGUUUCAUUUUCUAACCACCCAUGUUAGCUGAAUAUGAGCUUUAGCAAAGUCUUAAUGGGUUUUGCUUCAAUUAGCACUCCUUAAAGCUUACUCCGGUCUAGUCUAGUGCAGCUUUAGGUUGGGAGCAACUAGAGCACAAGAGGUCUACGCUUUACUUACAAGCCUCUUGCACACUCUAACCUAUUUUAUUUUUAUUAUUUAUUUUUCUUCUAUAAACCUAUUUAAGUAUUAUUUUAAUCAUGUAGAACAUUAUAUUUCGUUUCUUUGGCAUUUUCAACAUCCCUAAAGCAUUUUAGUAUUUUCAUUAUUGGACUCCUCGUUGCUUUAUAUGUGUAGCUCUAUGGGGACAUAAGAUUAGAGGUCUACAAAUUUUCAGGCACAAUUUUAUGCACAACUGAUCUUUUAAUUAGUGCAAUCAAUUCUAGUUUUCUCAAAUUUUCAAAGUUGACACAACAGAGAUCUUGACAAAAUGUAUCUAGUGGAGUCAAGAAGCCCAUGGAAAAAUUCGGUCCUUUAUUUCCCACCAAUUGUUCAAAUUAGAAGUUAGAUUGGCGCAUUUACAUUACACAAUUGGGAUCUUAGCAUUCUUGAUACACCCGCAAUUCUACACACACAUGAGAAAAAGGCCAUAGGACUUUUGACGCGCCCAAAUUGAUUAUCAAUUUAACGCGGAAACAUGAAUACACUUAUUUUUAUAUGUAAUAAUUAUUAUAUUAGUUAAAGUAUAAUUAAUUAAAUUAUA